AGAGUAUUGGACAUUAUUUAUCUCCUUGCCUAAUGUAUCCCAGGAUGACUUGUUUGGAUUACCUCCAAAUGUGAUUUUGCUUUUGAUUUGGUCCUUGGGACAAUCCUAAAAUCUAAGCCUCUCUACAGAAAGAUAUCAUUUGAGUAAGUGGAAUUGGAAAAGCAACUACAAGGAUUGUUAAAUGAGGAUUUUAUUUGGCUUAAUAUUUUAUCAUGGGGUGCUCCGGUGUUAGUUAAAAGAUGGAUGGAACAUUGAGGCUUUGUAUUGAUGAAACUAUUUAAGAGUAGGAGGAGGAAAUAAAGAUACCAUAAUCCUCAUCUUUUCAUCAAUUGAGCUAUGAUCAAUUUAGAGGACUAAAUUUUCUUUUAAGGGGGGGAGAGUGUAACACCCCUCAUUUCCGAAUGUUCGUAUAAAUUUUUGGUGAUAAUGUAAGCAUCUAUUUUUAAUUGACAAAAGAAAUAGAGUAUGAAUCAGAGGUAACUUAUUUUUAAGAUUUGGGAGAUCUGUUCAAAAAAAAAAAAAAAAGAAUCUGAGGACCUAUAUGUAAACCCUAAGGACCUAAUCGUGAAUAUGAUAAAAACAAGGACUAAACUGCAAAAUGCACCAAAUGACAAAUUCCACCGCUUAAGCUUCUCUGCCUUCGUUGUUAAGGAAGCAGAGGAGGCAGCUCGUGGGUGAUCAGGGAAAGAAAGAAAGAAAGAAGAAGAAGAAGAAGAGAAAGAAAAUUGGGGCUUUUGGGGUUCUUGCUUUAAUCUUUUCAUUGGGGGUCAAAAUUUUCAAAGGAUAGCGUAACUCUUGCUUAAAUGUUAAGAAUGGGCUGAGGCAGCGGAAAGUUUAGAAGACGUUGGGCAGAACUUUUGUUAGCAUAUAUGUAGUUGUGUAUAAGCUACCUUGCAUCUAAUGAAAAGUGACUAUGAAUCUAAACCGGUGGAUUUUGUGUAAGUUAAAGGAUCCCUCAUGUAUAGGGUUUUGGAAUGUUAAAUUAAAUUCGUGUAAUGAUAUGAACUUAUGGUAAAUCGAUGAUUGUGGUGACUGCAUAGAUUUCCCCA